UACGUAGGGUGCGAGCGUUAAUCGGAAUUACUGGGCGUAAAGUGUGCGCAGGCGGCGCCUCAAGUCGAGUGUGAAAUCCCCGAGCUUAACUUGGGAAUUGCGCUCGAAACUAGGGUGCUGGAGUAUGGCAGAGGAAGGUGGAAUUCCACGUGUAGCGGUGAAAUGCGUAGAGAUGUGGAGGAACACCGAUGGCGAAGGCAGCCUUCUGGGCCAAUACUGACGCUCAUGCACGAAAGCGUGGGGAGCAAACAGG
rnacentral:rRNA from 1 species